AUAAGCAACAGGAUAUCCAGAGGUAAUGUAGUACAACCGUUUCAAGUGGCUCAAUUUAAUUGAACAAUGCAAUCAUUACAUCAAUUUAAAUGCAGGGCUAUCCUCAGCUGCAUAAAUAAAUAAAUAGAAUUUUUUUAAUCAGUCGGACACAUUAAAAUAAUUUUACUUAAAUAAUCUAAUAGAGUAAGAUGAAGUCCAUGCUUCUAGCACUUCAGCUUAGAAGUUUCUAAAAUGUAAUGAUUGCAUUGUUCAACUAAAUGGAGCCGCUUGAUACAGUCCUGCUGCAUCACCUCUGGAUAUCUUGUUGCUUAUUUUCGUAUAUGUAUGUAUGUAUGUUUGUAUGUAAAUACAUAUAUAGUCAACAAUUAAGAUCCAGAGCUUCUCAGCUUAGAAAACACUUAGUAGCACUCAAACAAUUCUCAUGUCUUUAUGAAGGACCAAUUCCACAGAGUAAAGAGUGGCUAUAAGAGGAAUGCAGGUGAGCAGAUAUGGAGGCAAUUAAGCAGAUAAACAUUUCAACAUUCCACCUUUAAACUUCUUUGCAUAUGAUCUGAACUGUAAAAUUUCUUUCUACCUUGAUGACAGAGGCUCGAUUUAGCCAAUGUUUAUUUGCUUCCAUUACUGGAUGCAUAUCUACCAACAUUGUGAAGGAUCUCCGAACUCCCAGAAACAGCCAUUGGACUUAUAACAUCUUACCUUCUACCCUUUAAUUUUCUCUGUCAUUUGUACUCUGGGUAACAUGUCUGUGUGUGCAUGGGGGCUGGAGGCUGAAAUGUGUCGAAGGAUUGUUGUUAGAAUGUUUGGAUCCACCUGGGACGAAACAACUACUACCACUACUACUACAAUAACAACAGCAAAUUUAUGAUGAGACUCCAAGUACUUCCAGAGAGGUGUGUUUGUUUGAUUGUAAGAAAACAGAACAUUGAACUAUUACCACUACUACCACCACCAUCACCACCACCGCUGCCACCACUUCCAGGGGUGAACAGAAUUCAUUUCAGUGAAUGACAAUAAGAAAGAAACAACUGUUAGUUAUGAUGUCAAAGCUAAGAAUAAGGUUAAGUCUUUUUACUUUCCAUAUUUAAUCUUCUUAAAGAUUAAUUCGGAAGGUUUUUUUUCUUUUGUUUGAAAUAUACAUGUGAAUGAAUUUAAUACAUGAAAAUACAUGGCUGUGCUCUUAAGAAACUGUAAAUCAUACAAGCAAAUCCUAAGUACAUAGUGUGGGCAGCAUCUCUGGCCGUUUAUAUAAAUCAGAUAGAAACUUGAAUAGCAAAAACAAAAACAAGAAAGGAAGGAAGGAAAGAAAACAGAAAGAAAGACAGACACGAGCGAUUUAAUCCAAAAACAAAUCUCGUGAGAUAAAAACUUCUGAAGAAAUGUACGCACGCGCACACACACACACACAUACGCACACAAGUGCCUGUCCUAUAAACCUCUACCCCAAACCAGUAAAUUCCUGUGCGGGGUCACAGGCUUUGGUUAGCACAAUUGGACGUUGCUAAAGAAUGACUGACUAUAUAUCGAAAUCUCAUUUUUGCCUCUGUUGUUGUUCCUGCUUUUAGUAGUGGUGGUUUGAUUGUUCUGUUGGUGGUGAUCGUCGUUGUGGUAUAGCAGUAUUUGUUUGCUGCUUAGCUCCCUGUCAAUCUCUAUCAAACAGGUGUAUGAUUAAAAGCAUUCUAACCAUGACUAACUCAUCAAUUUGGGAGGUACAAUAUUACAAUAUAUCAGGGAUCACAUUAUCCAACAUGUUAUUUUUUCUUCUUUUUUUUUACAUAUAUAUAUAGUUAAAGACAUUAUCUGCUGCUCCUUAAGGCCAGUCAGUAUACUAACACUUCGAUUUCACCAGUGUUAAAUUUUCUCUUAAUAGAAAAUAUCAAGAAAAGAAACAUAAUUCAAAUCUUUAAAGCAAGGCGUUUAAUAACAGCUAUUUACGUGCAAGAUUUUGUCUUUUGUUUCUUUGUGCUUUUUAUUGUGUUAUCUAAAAUAAAAAAAAAUGAGUCAUAAACUGCUUUAAUUCAGUAGUUAUAAGCCACAGUCAUGAGAAAAAAGUCACUGCACUUAAUGACUACAGCUGAAGGUAGCUAGACUAGACUAGACAUUCUUUUAUUCUUCUAAUCUUUUACUAGUUUCGAUCUUUGGAGUGUGUCCAUACUGGGACACUGCUUUCAAAGGGUUUUAGCUGAUGUGAUACUCCAGUAUUUAUUUCAGACAUUAUGCUUAAUACAUGGAUAUCUAUUUAUUGAGUACUUUGGUUAUGAUUUUUACAUAAAGAUAUACAAAUGAUCAUAACAGUGGUAAACACAGUCUUGGGGCUACACAGACAUAAGAUUAGAAUGUGCUGGUUUGGUCAUGUGAUGUGUAUGGAUGAGGACAGCUCAAACUCUAAUUGUGGAGGGUACAUGUGAAAGGGGUAGACCCAGGAAGAUGUAGGACAAAGUGGUGAGAAAGAAUCUUUGGAUGCUAGGCCUCACUCAAGAAAUGACAAGGGACCAGGAAAAUGUGGUAAUUUGCUGUACUUGAUAAGGCGCUUCAAGCUAAGUAAAAUCACAGUCUUGCACACAUACAGGCUUGUCCUUCCAGGUGCCAGUGCCACUUAAAAAGCUCUGUGCCAGUGCUGCCUUAACUUGCCCAUGAUGGUGACAUGUAAAAAGUACCCAGCACACUCAAUUAGUGGUUGGCAUUGGGAAGGGCAUCCAGCUGUAGAAACCAUGCCACAACAGACUGUUGGAGUUCGGACAGUUCCCUGCUAACUAGCUUCAUGUCUAACCCAUGCCAGCGUGGAGACUGGACACUAAAUGAUGAUGAUGAUGACAACGACGGUGAUGAUGAUGAUGAUGAUGCUAUGUAAAUGACAAGAGAACAAGAAAUUGUGUAAUAAACUUUAUUAGCUUACAGUUGUUUCUGCUGAAAGAUGUAAUGCACAAGCACUCAUCUUUGAGUUAAUUGCAUCUUUUGCAGAAACAGCUAUGAGCUAAUGAAGUUCAUUGUAUAAUUUCUUCUUCCCUUGUCAUUUAUAUAAUUUCUUAUUACUGCUCUGUACUCAACUAAAACUUUUCUCUGCAGUAUAUUGUAUUACACCUGGAUCUACUAUCAGUAAACCUAAACAAAAUAUUCAUAAUGACAGUGCUUUCUUUGAACUAUUCUUUUCCUUUAUUCUGAAUCUUUCCUCUUUCUGAUGAAAAGCCAUGCUUGAAACAUUACAUUCUCUCCUUUUUACAUUUUAAACUUUUCCUGAAUGUCAGUCUAUUACAAAGGUUCUCAACCCAUCUUAGCCAAAGGCUCCCUUUUGACCCUUAGAGUUACAAAUGCCCCGCCUCCCACUACAAAAUAUUUUUAUUUUUCAAUAUACUAUUUUUUUGGAUCUAGUUUGUAUCAUUCACAAAAUCUGCAUUUUUUAAAAAGAAGUAAAAAACUGAAAAUUGGUUAUAUUGAUGUAGUUUUCCAUGCUUAUUCUUGUGAAGCCAUGAACUUCUGGAGGAAAAAAUUUGAUGAAAAAGUUACAGACAUUUAAAAAUCGAAAAAACUGCCUGUUUUUAGCCAAUAUUGAGACAGAAAUUUUCUGUGUUGUAGCAGCAUCAACUUAGUGGUGUCGACUUUUAGGUUGUACCCUGUGAAAUUUAUACUUUAACAUGCAACUUGAAUACUGCAUAACACAUAAAGGAUCAAUUUUCAAAAUUUUUACUUCCUUUUAAAAAUGCAGAUUUUGUGAGUGAAACAGUUUAGAUCCAGCAUAAAUUAUGUAUACAUACAUUCAUAUAAUAUAUUUGGACACUUUGACAAGAACUGGAGACUGGGCCAAGCUAUAGAUUAUGUAUACAUACACUCAUAUGUGUGUCUGUGUGUUUGCUAGUGUCUGUUUUUCUUUAGUUUUUGUUUACUUAUACACAUCAACAAAUGAGCCAAUGAGGUACUCUCUGUGUAGUAGUUAAAUUUGCUAGAAAUAACGGCCAAAUCUCCCUCAUACUAUGCUCUUCUUAGUAUUAAGGAAAGGGAAAAAAAUGUUUACUCCUCUCUAUCGUUUUGAUUAAAAUUAAUAUUUUUGAUUU